rnacentral:rRNA from 1 species
CCUACGGGAGGCAGCAGUGGGGGAUAUUGGACAAUGGGGGAAACCCUGAUCCAGCGACGCCGCGUGAGUGAAGAAGUAUUUCGGUAUGUAAAGCUCUGUCAGCAGGGAAGAAAGAAAUGACGGUACCUGACCAAGAAGCCCCGGGUAACUACGUGCCAGCAGCCGCGGUAAUACGUAAGUGGCAGGCGUUAUCCGGAUUUACUGGGUGUAAAGGGAGCGUAUACGGUGAUGCAAGGCUGGAGUGAAAGGCGGGGGGCCAACCCCCGGAAUGGUCUGGAAACUGUGUGACUUGAGUGCAGGAGAGGUAAGCGGAAUUCGUAGUGUAGCGGUGAAAUGCGUAGAUAUUAGGAGGAACACC